GACGAACGCUGGCGGCGUGCUUAACACAUGCAAGUCGAACGGUGAAGCGCCUUCCUUUUUGGUGGGUGUGGAUGAGUGGCGAACGGGUGAGUAACACGUGAGUAACCUGCCCCCUUCUUCUGGAUAACCGCAUGAAAGUGUGGCUAAUACGGGAUAUUCUGGGUCUGUCGCAUGAUGGGUCUGGGAAAGAUAUUGUUUCGGUGGGGGAUGGGCUCGCGGCCUAUCAGCUUGUUGGUGGGGUGAUGGCCUACCAAGGCGGUGACGGGUAGCCGGCCUGAGAGGGUGGGCGGUCACACUGGGAAUGAGAGACGGCCCAGACUCCUACGGGAGGCAGCAGUGGGGAAUAGUGCACAAUGGGCGCAAGGCUGAUGCAGCGACGCCGCGUGAGGGAUGGAGGCCUUCGGGUUGUGAACCUCUUUCGCCAGUGAAGCAGGCCUGCCUCGUUUGUGGGUGGGUUGACGGUAGCUGGAUAAGAAGCGCCGGCUAACUACGUG
rnacentral:rRNA from 1 species